ACCCCGCCAGCGAAUGCCGGAUCCUCUGCUUGGGAAGACAGUCCUCCUUUCCGAAGGACUCCAUUCAGCAAAAAGGAAUAUAAAUCUUUUAAAUACACUAUAGCAUCAGGCAGAGUCAAGAGGAGUCUCUACCCGCUUCUAAUCAGAUUGCCAGAAGUCUUCCUUUUCUGGAUGGAGACUAAGAGGUACUUACUUCUCGCCCUGGGAAGGGAAGAUCUUGGCUUUCUGCUUGGAUCACUUCCUUCAAGAAGACCUCCUCAAGUUUCUUUCAUUGGACAAAUAUCAAUUUAGCACCUACUAUGUGCCUGGUACUGUGCUAGGCUAUCUGGGUAUACCAUGGUGAACAAAAUGGAUGUUUUUCCUGAGCUUGAAAAUGAUGAUUCUUCCUAUGGAAAUGAGGUUGGGAUCUAGGGGCUUGGAUACCCCCCACAUCAGAAGCUCAAAUCCUUCAUAAAUGGCAAAAAAGGGGAAUCAAAGAUAGCUAGGUUUUGAGGAUUACCUAAAGCCCAGACAGAUGACUCACUGUUUAAAAUGUAAACUUUUAGAAUAGUUUUAGACUUACAGAAAAGUUUUGCAGAUAGUACAGAAUUGCCAUAUACCCCAACCCAGUUUCUCCUAUUGUUAACACCUGACAUUGCUGCGGUACAUUUUCCACAACACUGGUAUGUUAUUGUUAACUAAACUCUGUAGUUUAUUUGGAUUUUAUUAGUUUUUACCCACCAUCCUUUCUCUGUUCCACAGGGUCUCUCACAUUGUAUGCAGCCAUCUUAUUUCCCUAGGCUGCUCUUGGCUGUGGUAGUUUCUCAGACUUUCCUUGCUUUUGAUGGACUGUUGGUCAGGUAAUUUGUAGACUGUCCCUCAGGUGGGGUCUGUCUGCUGUUUUUCUCAUGGUUCAACUGUGGUUAUGGGUUUGGGGGUGAUGUGCUGUUUCCAUCACAUCAUAUCAAGUGUCCAUGCUAUAGACACGACUGAUCGCUGCUGAUGUUGACCUUGGCCAUCUGGCUGAGCUAGUGCUUGUCAGGUUUCUCUCCUGCAAGAUUACUCUUUCCCCCUGCUUUCCAUACUAUACUCCAUAGAAGGAAAUCAUUAUGCACAGCCCACACUUCAGGGACAGGGAUUUAUGUUUCACCGCCUUGAGGGAGGAGUAUCUCCAUAAAUUAUUUGGGAUUCUUCUGCACAGGCGAUUUGAGU
rnacentral:lncRNA from 1 species